rnacentral:siRNA from 1 species
UGGCGCAGGAGUUACAGUUUCCAC